CUCCCCACCUCGGGGUGCCUCCGGAUCGGCGGGAGGCUGAGAUGCGCGCCAGCGCGAACCCGUCGAACCUGAACCGGCUCGCACCGGCGGAGGGAAGGUCGUGAGGUCCUCU
rnacentral:ncRNA from 2 species